UACGUAGGGUGCAAGCGUUGUCCGGAUUUAUUGGGCGUAAAAGGCUUGUAGGUGGCCACGCCAAGUCGGAUGUGAAAUCUCCCGGCUCAACUGGGAGGGGUCAUUCGAUACUGGCGGGCUCGAGGCCGGUAGGGGGAAGUGGAAUUCCCGGUGUAGUGGUGGAAUGCGUAGAUAUCGGGAGGAACACCAGUGGCGAAGGCGGCUUCCUGGACCGGUUCUGACACUGAGGAGCGAAAGCGUGGGGAGCGAUCCGG
rnacentral:rRNA from 1 species